AUCGUCAUCGUCAUCGUCAUCGUCAUCGUCAUCAUCAGCUCUGUUGUCAGCCAACCAGCCCUCA
rnacentral:tRNA from 1 species